rnacentral:rRNA from 1 species
GAGGUCCCGCCUGCCCAGUGAUCUGUUUCAACGGCCGCGGUAUUAUGACCGUGCAAAGGUAGCGUAAUCACUUGUCUUUUAAAUAAAGACCUGUAUGAAUGGCAAAACGAAAGUUCAACUGUCUCUUUAAUCCUAUCAAUUAAAUUUAUCUUUCCGUGCAGAAGCGGAAAUAAACCUAUAAGACGAGAAGACCCUAUGGAGCUUUAAACAUAAAAUUAAUUAUAUUAAUUAUUCAAGCCAACAGGAAAAAAUUUAAUAUAUAUAAUAUAAUUUUAGUUUUGGGUUGGGGCGACCACGGAGGAAAAGAAAUCCUCCGAGAUAAGUAAUCUAGAACCACAUUUCAAAAGCUAAAACAUUUAAUACAAAUGAUCCACUAAGUGACCAACGAACCAAGUUACCCUAGGGAUAACAGCGCAAUCCUUUCUGAGAGUUCCUAUCGACGAAUGGGUUUACGACCUCGAUGUUGGAUCAGGACACCCAAAUGGUGCAGCCGCUAUUAAAGGUUCGUUUGUUCAACGAUUAAAGUCCUACGUGAUCUGAGUUC